rfam:Cricetulus griseus cell line CHO-K1, whole genome shotgun sequence.
GUCAGGAUGGCCGAGUGGUCUAAGGCGCCAGACUCAAGUGUUCACUUCCUCUGUCGAGGUUUCUGGUCUCUGAAUGGAGGCGUGGGUUCGAAUCCCACUUCUGACA